CAAGAAUGCAUCCAAAGGGAUCGCAUUGAUCCAUUCUUCCUCAGUGGUAAGAAAGGAUCAUGCGAUCCUUUAGGAUGUCUACUC
rnacentral:pre_miRNA from 1 species